AUUUCUUUGUACAAUCGGAUGAGGAUUGAGAGCAAAACAACACAUUGAUAUUUUAAACGCAAGGAAUUCCACUCUAUUGCCAGAAAUGGGCUGGUUUUCCCUUUGUUGUGCAAAAUGACGGUGUCCUUGAGGAAUGUUUGGAGGCUCUUAGCAAUGAGGAAUCAUCCAGAAGCAUAACUGGUGUCAGCUCAGUUGUGUUGUCAACAU
rnacentral:lncRNA from 1 species